CCUACGGAUGGCAGCAGUAGGGAAUAUUGCUCAAUGGGGGAAACCCUGAAGCAGCAACGCCGCGUGGAGGAUGAAGGUUUUAGGAUUGUAAACUCCUUUUGUUAGAGAAGAUUAUGACGGUAUCUAACGAAUAAGCACCGGCUAACUCCGUGCCAGCAGCCGCGGUAAUACGGAGGGUGCAAGCGUUAAGCGGAAUCACUGGGCGUAAAGAGUGCGUAGGCGGGGUAAUAAGUCAGAUGUGAAAUCCUGUAGCUUAACUACAGAACUGCAUUUGAAACUGUUACUCUGGAGUGUGGGAGAGGUAGGUGGAAUUCUUGGUGUAGGGGUAAAAUGCGUAGAGAUCAAGAGGAAUACUCAUUGCGAAGGCGAGCUGCUGGAACAUUACUGACGCUGAUGCACGAAAGCGUGGGGAGCAAACAGGAUUAGAUACCCUAGUAGUC
rnacentral:rRNA from 1 species